GUGGAUAGGGAAGUGCCUCUCACACCCUCCUUAGCCACUAUUUGGGAGAAUUGGGACGUAGCCAGGGGUGUGGUUUUCUGGUGAAUUAAUCAUCUUAUUGACUGCAGCUGUGGAGCCCUGACACCUGGCUGCAAUCAAGAGUUGCCAACACAAGAGUGGGACUGCUAGUAAAAGCCCUAGUGGGUGCUAUUGCUGUGAGCUACAUUUAGAAGACUCCUGUCCCAGCGGCCACAAACAGCUUUACAGGGGUUAGUAUAAUGGAUGUCACGGUGCUUAGCGAGUACCACUUCCUCCUGAUUUGGCUCACACUGAGGCUCGGACCCAGGACCUCUGCUUUACUAGCACAUGUGACCUCUCUCCUGAAGCGUGUUGCCACAUGCGAAAAGCUAGCUAUACUGAAGCUAGACACUUCAGGCUGGGGCUUCACACAUCCCCAUGUGCUACAUCAGCUCCCCUGCAUAGGAGAAGACUGCAUGGGGUAACAGGCAGCUCCCCUGCAUAGGAGAAGACUGCGUGGGGUAACAGGCAGCUCCCCUGCAUAGGAGAAGACUGCGUGGGGUAACAGGCAGCUCCCCUGCAUAGAAGACUGCGUGGGGUAAGAGGCAGCUCCCCUGCAUAGAAGACUGCGUGGGGUAAGAGGCAGCUCCCCUGCAUAGAAGACUGCGUGGGGUAAGAGGCAGCUCCCCUGCAUAGGAGAAGACUGCGUGGGGUAAGAGGCAGCUCCCCUGCAUAGGAGAAGACUGCGUGGGGUAAGAGGCAGCUCCCCUGCAUAGGAGAAGACUGCGUGGGGUAAGAGGCAGCUCCCCUGCAUAGGAGAAGACUGCGUGGGGUAAGAGGCAGCUCCCCUGCAUAGGAGAAGACUGCGUGGGGUAAGAGGCAGCUUCCCUAGUUUCCCCCAAAGUUGUCAUUCCGAGAUGCAUUUUACCUUUGAGUUACUGUUGUGUGUAAUGUACUGACAUGUAUGUGGAACUGAUAGAUGUAUACACACACUACAUGUUUUUAAAUGUAUGUAAAUUGUAAAGUAUUUUGUCUAAUCCUUUAAAAAAAAAAAUGUUAUUAUAUGUCGGACCCCAGUAAGACUAGCUGUCGUCAUUGGCGUCGGGUAAUGGGGAUCCUAAUAAAUCAAAUUUGUUUAUUGCUUAAACCCCUGUCUGUCUCAUGCUGUUGGACUACCACACACACACGUGACAAGCCCCUCCAUCUGUGGGCAUGCCACACAGUAAGCCUUGUGCUGUCACAGGAGGUGUCUACCCUAAAAUCAAUGGUGGAAAAGGAGGCAAUUUUCGUACUUGUGUAAAAGUAAAGAUGCCUUUAAAAUAAAAUUACUCCAGUGAAAGUCACCCAGUAAAAUACUACUUGAG
rnacentral:lncRNA from 1 species